UAGGUUUUAGUUAAAAUUAUAACAUUAGUCUGUCAUACUGAAAUUGCUAAAAAUUAUAGCAUUCU
rnacentral:tRNA from 1 species